rnacentral:rRNA from 1 species
GACGAACGCUGGCGGCGUGCUUAACACAUGCAAGUCGAGCGAGGCCCUCCUCUUCGGAGGAGGUGUCCUAGCGGCGAACGGGUGAGUAACACGUGGGCAACCUGCCCUCAGCAUCGGGAUAACCCCGGGAAACCGGAGCUAAUACCGGAUACGACCUUUGCGGGCAUCCGCGAAGGUGGAAAGUGUCAGCGGCUGAGGAUGGGCCCGCGGCCUAUCAGCUUGUUGGUGGGGUAACGGCCACCAAGGCGACGACGGGUAGCCGGCCUGAGAGGGCGACCGGCCACACUGGGACUGAGACACGGCCCAGACUCCUACGGGAGGC